rnacentral:rRNA from 1 species
AAAUGAAUUGACGGGGGCCCGCACAAGCAGCGGAGCAUGUGGUUUAAUUCGAAGCAACGCGAAGAACCUUACCAGAGCUUGACAUCUCCUGCAUAAUCCGUAAUGGGAUGAAGUCCUUCGGGACAGGAAGACAGGUGGUGCAUGGUUGUCGUCAGCUCGUGUCGUGAGAUGUUGGGUUAAGUCCCGCAACGAGCGCAACCCUUAUACUUAGUUGCUACCAUUAAGUUGAGCACUCUAAGUAGACUGCCGGAGACAAUUCGGAGGAAGGUGGGGAUGACGUCAAAUCAUCAUGCCCCUUAUGUUCUGGGCAACACACGUGCUACAAUGGGUAAAACAACGGGACGCGAGAUAGAGAUAUUAAGCCAAUCCCUAAAAAAUACUCUCAGUUCGGAUUGUAGGCUGCAACUCGCCUACAUGAAGUCGGAGUUGCUAGUAAUCGCGAAUCAGCAUGUCGCGGUGAAUGCGUUCCCGGGCCUUGUACACACCGCCCGU